rnacentral:rRNA from 1 species
AUUGAACGCUGGCGGCAGGCCUAACACAUGCAAGUCGAGCGAGUGGCGGACGGGUGAGUAAUGUAUGGGGAUCUGCCUGAUAGAGGGGGAUAACUACUGGAAACGGUGGCUAAUACCGCAUACCAUCAGAUGAACCCAUAUGGGAUUAGCUUGUGGGUGAGGUAACGGCUCACCUAGCCGACGAUCCCUAGCUGGUCUGAGAGGAUGAUCAGCCACACUGGGACUGAGACACGGCCCAGACUCCUACGGGAGGCAGCAGUGGGGAAUAUUGCGCAAUGGGGGCAAGCCUGAUGCAGCCAUGCCGCGUGAAUGAAGAAGGCCUUCGGGUUGUAAAGUACUUUCAGUAGGGAGGCGUUACCGACAGAAGAAGCACCGGCUAACUCCGUGCCAGCAGCCGCGGUAAUUC